rnacentral:rRNA from 1 species
GUUGCAAAGAACUUUGAAGAGAGAGUUCAAGAGUACGUGAAACUGCUGAGAGGCAAACUGGUGGGCCCUCGAAAUCCCGUUUGCGGGGAGAUUCAGUCGGGUGUCGGCGGCCGUCUCUAAAAUGGGUCUGUCGCAACCGAAGAUCGGGGCACAUUCCGAGGGACGAGUUCCGCUGGAACCCGACGCAUUUCCCGCCCGCACGAAAGGAACGCCGCAGCCGGUCGGGUAGCUGCGCGUGUCGGCCAUGAGGACGUUGCAACGGCAGGUGACCGGCGGCCCUAGGCCUCUCCGGAGGCACUAACGGUCGACGGUUGAUUAGCCGGCUCGUCCGUGGCGCGACACCCGACCGAGGUAAAGAGAGAGACAGAGACGGGGAUACGUCUCCACGGAGACGUCCCCGUCUGCAAUCCACUACUUUCAAACGAGAGAGCGAGCCGUCGGACAGGCGCGUUCCUGCGUGGUCGGACAGUCACCGCACUGGUCGAUCUGGUGGGAGCGCGUCGAUCGUACCGAGUCAGGAUCUCGCGGAGGAUGAAGGCUGGCGGCGAGUAGGUCGGUAACCCACCCGACCCGUCUUGAAACACGGACCAAGGAGUCUAACAUGUGCGCAAGUCGCGGGGUCUUGUUCAGGCCCAAAGGCGAAAUGAAAGUGAAGGCCGCCGCUUCCCCUUAUUCAGUUAGGGGCGGAGUGAGGCGGCCAGGUCGGGACUCGCACGUGACACGGGACGUGACGAAGCACCGACGACCCGCCCUGUUCUAUCUUCUCGAUAGGAACUCAAACGGAGUUUGAGCGCACACGUUGGGACCCGAAAGAUGGUGAACUAUGCCUGGGCAGGACGAAGCCAGAGGAAACUCUGGUGGAGGUCCGCAGCGGUUCUGACGU